GACGAACGCUGGCGGCGUGCUUAACACAUGCAAGUCGAGCGGUAAGGCCCCUUCGGGGGUACACGAGCGGCGAACGGGUGAGUAACACGUGGGUGACCUGCCCUCAGCUCUGGGAUAAGCCUGGGAAACUGGGUCUAAUACCGGAUAUGACCUUUGCCUGCAUGGGUGGGGGUGGAAAGAUUUGUUUUGGCUGGGGAUGGGCCUGCGGUCUAUCAGCUUGUUGGUGGGGUGAUGGCCUACCAAGGCGACGACGGUAGCCGGCCUGAGAGGGCGACCGGCCACACUGGGACUGAGACACGGCCCAGACUCCUACGGGAGGCAGCAGUGGGGAAUAUUGCGCAAUGGGCGGAAGCCUGACGCAGCGACGCCGCGUGGGGAUGACGGCCU
rnacentral:rRNA from 1 species